GACGAACGCUGGCGGCGUGCCUAACACAUGCAAGUCGAGCGAAUGAAAUUCCUUCGGGAAUGGAUUUAGCGGCGGACGGGUGAGUAACACGUGGGCAACCUGCCUCAUAGAGGGGAAUAGCCUUCCGAAAGGGAGAUUAAUACCGCAUAAGAUUGUAGUAUCGCAUGAUACAGCAAUUAAAGGAGCAAUCCGCUAUGAGAUGGGCCCGCGGCGCAUUAGCUAGUUGGUGAGGUAACGGCUCACCAAGGCGACGAUGCGUAGCCGACCUGAGAGGGUGAUCGGCCACAUUGGGACUGAGACACGGCCCAGACUCCUACGGGAGGCAGCAGUGGGGAAUAUUGCACAAUGGGGGAAACCCUGAUGCAGCAACGCCGCGUGAGUGAUGACGGCCUUCGGGUUGUAAAGCUCUGUCUUCAGGGACGAUAAUGACGGUAC
rnacentral:rRNA from 1 species